UCACUGCCAGGGACGGCGACUCCACCACCUCCCUGGGCAGCCAUUCCAGUGCCUGACCACCCUCUUGAGAGAAAAAGUUUGUCCUAAUGUUCAACCUAAACCUCCUCUGGUACAACUUCUGGCCAUUUCCUCAGGUCCUACUAUUUGCCUGGGAGAAGAGGCCAGACUCUUUUUCAUCACAACCUCCCUUCAGGAAGUUGUAGAGUGCAAUGAGGUCUCCCCUGAGCCUCCUCUUCUCCACACUGAACAAUCCCAGCUCCCUCAGCCGCUCCUCAUAAGACUUGUGCUCCAGACCCCUCACCAGUUU